UGUUGUUGCUGAUGUUGCCUCCAUAGCAGGAGGUGUUUGGCACCGGCUGUCCCGCAGUGCCAGACGCUUGCUGCGCCCGACGGGUGCGGAGGGGGUUGAGCCGAGUGGUGGUGACUAGCGCGCUAAUCCCGUAUUAUUAAGUAUUUUUAAUCCAUACCAACCAAACGGCCCAACGACCCAUCCCUUUUUUUUUCUUUUUAAAUUUUUUGUGUCUCACCCACAAUAAAUUGUUGUCAAUUUAAA